rnacentral:rRNA from 1 species
AGUGAACGCUGGCGGUAGGCCUAACACAUGCAAGUCGAACGGCAGCACAGUAAGAGCUUGCUCUUACGGGUGGCGAGUGGCGGACGGGUGAGGUAUACAUCGGAAUCUACUUUUUCGUGGGGGAUAACGUAGGGAAACUUACGCUAAUACCGCAUACGACCUACGGGUGAAAGCAGGGGAUCUUCGGACCUUGCGCGAUUGAAUGAGCCGAUGUCGGAUUAGCUAGUUGGCGGGGUAACGGCCCACCAAGGCGACGAUCCGUAGCUGGUCUGAGAGGAUGAUCAGCCACAGUGGAACUGAGACACGGUCCAGACUCCUACGGGAGGCACCGGUGGGGAAUAUUGGACAAUGGGCGCAAGCCUGAUCCAGCCAUACCGCGUGGGUGAAGAAGGCCUUCGGGUUGUAAAGCCCUUUUGUUGGGAAAGAAAAGCAGCAGGUUAAUACCCCGCUGUUCUGACGGUACCCAAAGAAUAAGCACCGGCUAACUUCGUG